UACGUAGGGUGCGAGCGUUAAUCGGAAUUACUGGGCGUAAAGCGUGCGUAGGCGGUUCGUUAAGUUCGUUGUGAAAGCCCCGGGCUCAACCUGGGAAUGGCAAUGGAAACUGGCGGGCUGGAGUAUGGCAGAGGGGGGUGGAAUUCCGCGUGUAGCAGUGAAAUGCGUAGAGAUGCGGAGGAACACCGAUGGCGAAGGCAGCCCCCUGGGCCAAUACUGACGCUCAGGCACGAAAGCUAGGGGAGCGAACAGG
rnacentral:rRNA from 1 species